rnacentral:tRNA from 1 species
CAGAGGGUAGUUUAAGGAAAAUUAAAAUAUUAAUUUUGGGGAUUAAAGAUAGAAGUGUUUUCCUCUGA